GUGGCGCACGGGUGAGUAACGCGUGGAUUAUCUACCUACUGGUACGGGACAACAGUUGGAAACGACUGCUAAUACCGUAUACGCUGGUAACGGGAAAGGGGGCCUCUUCUUGAAAGCUCUCGCCAGUAGAUGAGUCCGCGUUUCAUUAGCUAGACGGUGGGGUAACGGCCUACCGUGGCAACGAUGAAUAGCAGGCCUGAGAGGGUGGCCUGCCACACUGGGACUGGAACACGGCCCAGACUCCUACGGGAGGCAGCAGUGGGGAAUAUUGCGCAAUGGACGAAAGUCUGACGCAGCGACGCCGCGUGGAGGAUGAAGGUUUUCGGAUCGUAAACUCCUGUCAAGAGGGAAGAAACCUAUUAUGAAUAAUACUCAUGGUAAUUGACGGUACCUCUAGAGGAAGCACCGGCUAAUUCAGUGCCAGCAGCCGCGGUAAUACUGAAGGUGCAAGCGUUAAUCGGAAUCACUGGGCGUAAAGCGCUCGUAGGUGGCUUUGUAAGUCAGGUGUGAAAGCCCACGGCUCAACCGUGGAAUUGCACUUGAUACUGCAUCGCUAGAGUAUAGGAGAGGGAAGUGGAAUUUCUGGUGUAGGAGUGAAAUCCGUAGAGAUCAGAAGGAACACCCGUGGCGAAGGCGACUUCCUGGACUAUUACUGACACUGAGGAGCGAAAGCGUGGGGAGCAAACAGGAUUAGAUACCCUGGUAGUCCACGCCGUAAACGAUGGGUACUAGGUGUUGGGGGCUUGACCCUCGGUGCCGUAGUUAACGCGUUAAGUACCCCGCCUGGGGGAGUACGGUCGCAAGGCUGAAACUCAAAGAAAUUGACGGGGGGCCGCACAAGCGGUGGAGUAUGUGGGUUUAAUUCGAUGCAACGCGAAGAAACCUUACUCCAGGCUUGACAUCCUGCGGAAUGCCCAAAAUUUAGGCAGUGCCCUUCGGGGAAUGCCAGGGACAGGGGCUGCAU
rnacentral:rRNA from 1 species